rnacentral:lncRNA from 1 species
GCAAAUUGCUUCCUCCCUGUGCCUUGGGCAUAAUAAAUAUUCAUGGAAGGAAGGAAAGAAAGGAAUUGCACAAGUGGGAGAUGAACUAAAAUGUAAAGAUUUCCGAGCCUUGCCCUCAUUAGCAUCAUGUAUUUUACUACUAAAGCUUAAGAAAUGGAUCCACUAAUUAAUCCAUGAAAGAUUUUCAGAAAAAGUGCAACUCCUCAUUUAUUUGGUGAAAACUACAAAAACCAUUUAUUCUCCUGGGUCCAGAGUUUUCCCAUGGUAAAAUUGAGUCAGUUCAACCAAUGGAUCCCUGAGAAUGACACGGUCACCUAUGUGCAAAGUGCCCCUGAGGGUGUUUAAUUAAAAAGAAAAAAGAAAUCUCUGGCUACAGAUGAGAACUGCUUUCCACCUAGGAGAAUCAGGUAUUGAAGGAGCACGCCUACCCUUCUCCACGCUGUGCCAUGAAACAACUCUCGGAAUUUCCAUGAGCGGCACUCAUGCCCCAGCCACUCACAAAUAGACCUUUGUGUCAUUUAUUCAGCACUUGGUAGGUCCCAGGCACUGUGCCAACCCCUUACCUACGCAUCUCAUUCAAUCCCAACAAUUACUUUGAGAAUCGGGUAUGAUUAUUGCAUUUAGGAGGGGAGAAAAGAGAGAGGAAGCCCCAUGUUACCAGGCCAGUCCUUAUGGAACUAUUACCCUAUAUUAAUAAUGCGUUCCUGAUGCCUAGAUGUCUGGGGCUUUGCUGACCCUGGAGGAACUGCCUUUCUCAGGGUCAGCUAAUUUCUAGAGAGAGUAAAUGACUUGCUUGGGAGCACAUUUCAAAUGCAAGCCACCCAACCCAGAGCCCAUACCCCGGGUGCCACCUCUUCUAUUAGCUCUCACACUCAGGACCAUGUGCUCCCACUCUAAUCACCCUAGGGACAGAUGGCAGACAGCAAGAGGCAGCCCCUAUGUCCCAGACUCCUGUGAAAUUAUUCAAACUAGCAAAUCGUAAACCUGCUUACCCUGCCUCGUGCCAUUCCUUCCUGCAGAAACCAUGAUAAAGACUCUUGCCCACGUUUCCCCCUCACUCUCUCUGCUGCCUGACUGGCCCUGGUACUUCCCCACUUGGCACCUGUGGCAUGGUGUGGGCCCCUUUCUUGGAAUAUGUGAGAAGGAGAAAUCAGUCUCUCUGGAGGAUGAUGAUUUUUGCACAUUCAUCAAAAGGGGUUUAGAAACAGUUGGGAACACCAGACGAAAAUGGUCAUCCUUACCCUCUGGUAGGCUGGCAUUGUUACUUCCUCCAGAAAGCAUUCGUCCACCAUAGAUGAAAGUUUUUUUUUUUUUUUUUUUUUUUUNNNNNNNNNNNNNNNUCUGUUUUCCCAGGCUGGAGUGCAGUGGCAUGAUCUCGGCUCACUGCAACCUUCGCCUCCCAGGUUCAAGUGAUUCUCUGGCCUCAGCCUCCCAAGUAGCUGAGAUUACAGGCACAUACCACCAUGCCUGGCUAAUUUUUGUAUUUUUAGUGGAGACAGGGUUUUACCAUGUUGGCCAGGCUGGUCAUGAACUCCUGGCCUCAAG